GCAAGUCGAACGAAAAGCAGGAGCUUGCUCCUGUGGACGAGUGGCGAAAGGGUGAGUAACGCGUGAGUAACCUGCCCUCAAGAUGGGGAUAACACCUGGAAACGGGUGCUAAUACCGAAUGUGAAUAUUUUCUCGCAUGGGAUAAUAUUUAAAAAUUUAUUGCUUGAGGAUGGGCUCGCGUACCAUUAGCUAGUUGGUGUGGUAACGGCAUACCAAGGCAACGAUGGUUAGGUGGAUUGAGAGAUCGGUC
rnacentral:rRNA from 1 species